GCGAAUGUGGUUUAGCGGUAAAAUUCAAAGUUGCCAUCUUUGAGCCCCCGGUUCGACUCCGGGCAUUCGCA
rnacentral:tRNA from 1 species